GAUGAACGCUGGCGGCGUGCCUAAUACAUGCAAGUCGAGCGAACGGACGAUAAUCUUGCUUCUCUGAUGUUAGCGGCGGACGGGUGAGUAACACGUGUAUCACCUACCUAUAAUACUGGGAUAACUACGGGAAACCGGAUCUUAUACCGUAUAAUAUUUUGCACCGCAUGGUUCAAAGGUGAAAGACGGUCUUGCUGGCACUACUAGAUGCAUCUGCGCUUCUUUGUCUAGUUGGUAAGGUAACAGGUUACGAAGGGUACGAUGCAUAGCCGACCUGAGAGGGUGAUAGGCCACACUGGAACUGAGCCACGGUCCAGACUCCUACGGGAGGCAGCAGUAGGGAAUCUUCCGCAAUGGGCGAAAGCCUGGCGGAGCAACGCCGCGUGAGUGAUGAAGGUCUUCGGAUCGUAAAAAUCUGUUAUUAGGGAAGAACAUAUGUGUAAGUAGCUGUGCACAUCUUGACGGUACCUAAUAAGAAAGCAACGGCUAACUACGUG
rnacentral:rRNA from 1 species